rnacentral:tRNA from 1 species
UAGCUCAGUCUGUUAGAGCGUGGUGCUGAUAACACCAAGGUCGCGGGUUCGAUCCCCGU